CAGUGAACAAGUAUUUGGAAAUUCACUUUGAACACGGAGAUGUCCAGCGAUGAUGAGGACUCGCGAACAAUGUCAUUUCAAUAGCGCAGUAUCAGAACAGCCCAUACGAUACGCUUUAUACGGUCAUUUUCAGUCUCAAGAUAGAAAAUACGAGAACCACUUUUGAACUACCUUGAACUAUAAUUAAUGUUUUUCCUGUUGAGGAACUCUAGAAAUAUGAAAGAAGAAAUUCGCUUCGAACAGGGAGACGUCGCCCAACGACGACAUUAGGGAUCACGAACAAUGUCAUUUCUGCCAUUCACAGACUCAUUUGAAUUCUUUUUCGGAGUCAUACUCUCAAUCGUGUUCGGAAUUGUAUUUCGAGAUAUCAUCUUCAGCACAACAUCGAAAAUAAUACACGUUUCGAACGGAAGCAAUGAACUCGUUCAAGUGAGAAUCAGAGACAAUGGGGUAAAUCAACAAGAGACCCUUGCAACUCUGCUACCCGGAGAAGUCAACAUACACAGAUCAACCGGAUGGACGAAUGACGCUAGUUUAACAGUCUGUGUUUUCGUGAAAUUCGAAGACAACACUGAAGAAUCGAUUAACACGGAGAACAAUCGAAGUAUAAUCAUUAAGCCGAACAAAAGGCUCGUCGAGGCAAAAUACGAACCCUGGUUCAAGGCAGCUCUAUCUUUUAGACGGGCUGAUUCAAGCAUUUGGCGGGAUAAGGGGAAUAUCUGUCACAAGCCCAGAUGUGGGGCAGCAACUUGCAUGUGUUAAAAUGUAAAUGAAAGCCUGCGAUUAUUUAGAGUGAAUAGUGCAUAGUGAACAAGAAUUCAGGAAACUAAAAAAAAACGGCGUUCAUUUUGUGUGGGUUGUAAAUUAUGAAACAAAUACAACUCUUUUGGGGCAUACAACAACUCAUAUAUACUUAACUUAACCAGCAUAUCCAAAGCCUCCUCUGUGGCUAUUCUUCCUGUUUGUUCUUUAUAACAUUUGACUCCAUAGCAUUUCAAAACUCUUAUGUGCUAGAUCGCAACCUAAAAAUGUGCGACAUGAUUUUGAAAUAUUUCCAGAAGAAGUUUUCUUGGCUUGGCCGAACCGUAAAUGAUGACAGUUCCAGUAACGAGCACAGUGGAAGGAACUCGGAUGGAAGCUGCAAUUUUUCGCACUGUGAUGACGAUUUUUACCAAGAGGACAAUUUCAACAGUUACAGUCAAGUAGAAGACUUGGGAGA